GACGAACGCUGGCGGCGUGCUUAACACAUGCAAGUCGAACGAUGAACCAGGGCUUGCCCUGGGGAUUAGUGGCGAACGGGUGAGUAACACGUGGGCAACCUGCCCCAGACACCGGGAUAACUUCUCGAAAGAGUGGCUAAUACCGGAUACGACCACUUUGGGCAUCCAACGGUGGUGGAAAGGAUUCUGGUCUGGGAUGGGCCCGCGGCCUAUCAGCUUGUUGGUGGGGUAAUGGCCUACCAAGGCGACGAUGGGUAGCCGGCCUGAGAGGGCGACCGGCCACACUGGGACUGAGACACGGCCCAGACUCCUACGGGAGGCAGCAGUGGGGAAUAUUGCGCAAGGGGCGAAAGCCUGACGCAGCGACGCCGCGUGAGGGACGAAGGUCUUCGGAUUGUAAACCUCUUUCAGCAGGGACGAAGCGAAAGUGACCGUACCUGCAGAAGAAGCACCGGCUAACUACGUGCCAGCCGCCGCCGUAAGAC
rnacentral:rRNA from 1 species